CUUAGAGCACCUCCCUUGGUAGUAGAUGUGAGGUAUGGUCCCAUACAAGGCUUGUAUGUUCACUAAGGAUGUAGAUACUGAAUGAAUCCAUGUUUGGUCACCAUCCUAAAAACAAACAAACAAACA